rnacentral:rRNA from 1 species
AUUGAACGCUGGCGGCAGGCCUAACACAUGCAAGUCGAGCGGGGUUUUCGGACCUAGCGGCGGACGGGUGAGUAAUGCGUAGGAAGCUACCCGACAGAGGGGGAUACCAGUUGGAAACGACUGUUAAUACCGCAUAAUGUCUACGGACCAAAGUGUGGGACCUUCGGGCCACAUGCUAUCGGAUGCGCCUACGUGGGAUUAGCUAGUUGGUGAGGUAAUGGCUCACCAAGGCGACGAUCCCUAGCUGGUUUGAGAGGAUGAUCAGCCACACUGGAACGGAGACACGGUCCAGACUCCUACGGGAGGCAGCAGUGGGGAAUAUUGGACAAUGGGCGCAAGCCUGAUCCAGCCAUGCCGCGUGUGUGAAGAAGGCCUUCGGGUUGUAAAGCACUUUCAGUAGGGAGGAAGCGUUGUGUGUUAAUAGUACACAGCGUUGACGUUACCUACAGAAGAAGCACCGGCUAACUCUGUGCCAGCCGCCGCCGUAAGAC